CAACCAUCUCUCUGAAAUUUUGAAAUUGAAAGAACAAACUUAAAACUACUCUGUUAGGCACACAAGUGGACGCAACUAUCAACAAAACCCACACAUACGCAAAAAUAAAGAAUCCUAGCCACCCAGUCCCACCGCCCGCAGCCACCGCAGCCCCGUAGCCACCUCAGCCACCGCACCCCCCACACCCCCGCACCCCCGUUGCGUGUAUAGGCAUCGCGUGUGGAAGCUCCGUCGCGGUCGCAGGAGCUGUAUCGCUGUUGUUGGAAGCUCCGUCGCCGUCCUAGGAAGCUGUGUCGUCGUUGUAGGAAGCUCCCUCGCCGUCGUGCGGAAGCUGUGGCCAUCGCCAUCUCCUCUGUUCGAGGCUCUCUCUGUGUUCGCCGGUGCCGCCGUCUCCUCUGUCGUCGCCGUCACUCCCCUUCAUCCUUGCUGCCGUGAGGAUAGACGACUAAGAUGGCUUCUCAGCAAUUAUUGAGGAGGAAACUCCAAUCUCACUUUCAUAUUGAAUAAAAUUCCUAUUCUCAUAGGGAUAAAUCAAAUGCAAAAGAGAUCAUGGGAGAUCAAGUUCGGACAUAUACUUACAGGGAACGAAGCUUGGAGUAACCUCGGAUUCCACUUUCUGGAUGAUGCUCCUGGAGAACUCGCCUUCGCCUCUUUCCUCACUAAUGAUGUUAAUGAAUUUCACUUUAUACUUUCAUUUAAACUCUAGUUUGACAAACCCCAGUCUAAACAGGAGGUUGAAGGGUGAACAAUGGAGUCAAAGUCUACAGAUUGUAAUUGUUUGCGGUUUUCACGAACCUCACUGGUUAUUACUAAUUAGAACCUCACUGGUUAUUACUUAUUAGUGUGGCCAUCGGUCCAAUUGACUAAGAGAUUAGUUUCGAUUCGUUUACGAGGUCUCUAUUUUCCUUUUGAGAUUUUUGAGUCACCAUAUUAGUGUGGUCAUCGGUCCAAUUGACCAAGAUUAAGAGGUCUCUAUUUGAUGGUCUAAGUUUUGAGAUAGGUCAGGUGUUAUUGUAUAGCUUUAAGAGCUAUUUUUGGACUUAUUUGUUCUCCAUCGUGCU